rnacentral:rRNA from 1 species
CUUGACCUUGCCGCAGUGCUGGUGAACUUUGGAGGCACAACAACGGCGGUGCCGAUCACAUACCUGGGCCUGCCCAUCACGGUCCGGAGGAUUAGGCUAGUUCAACUGCAUUUCAUCAUCGAUAGAUUUAGGGCUAGGUUAGCCGGCUGGAAAGGUAGACUAAUGUCAAUGGCGGGUUAUCGUGUCAUCGUGCGCUGUGUUCUGUCCGCCAUACCAACCUUCAUGCUCACGGCUUUACGGGCGCCCAAGAAGCUCUUCAAGGAAAUUGACAAGUCACAACGACGGUUCCUCUGGGCACAGGACGACGAGAUCUCAGGGGCGAGUGGAAGGUGGGAUGGAAGACGGGACUGCGCCGGAGCUGCACGGUGUCCUGGGCGUCCAUGA